GCUGGAAUAGCUCAAUUGGUUAGAGCGUAUGGCUGUUAACCAUAAGGUUGGAGGUUUGAGCCCUCUUUCUAGAG
rfam:Gossypium arboreum cultivar AKA8401 contig_82992_1, whole genome shotgun sequence.